GUAGGGGGCUAGCGUUGUCCGGAAUCAUUGGGCGUAAAGCGCGCGUAGGCGGCCAGAUAAGUCCGGUGUGAAAGUCAGAGGCUCAACCUUUGAAUGCCGCUGGAAACUGUCUGGCUAGAGUCCGGAAGGGGCGAGUGGAAUUCCUGGUGUAGCGGUGAAAUGCGCAGAUAUCAGGAGGAACACCAAUGGCGAAGGCAGCUCGCUGGGACGGUACUGACGCUGAGGCGCGAAAGCGUGGGGAGCGAACAGGAUUAGAUACCCUGGUAGUCCACGCCGUAAACGAUGGGCACUAGGUGUCGGAGGUGUCGACUCCUCCGGUGCCGAAGCUAACGCAUUAAGUGCCCCGCCUGGGGAGUACGGCCGCAAGGCUAAA
rnacentral:rRNA from 1 species